CGUAGAGGUAGUUUGACGUUCCUGGCUCGACGGAGAAACGGCUGGCGGACGGUGCCUAAUACAUGCAAGUCGAACGGAGAUAUUCGCUGAUGAAGUACUUCGGUAAUGAAUCUUGGAUAUCUUAGUGGCGGACGGGUGAGUAACGCGUGAGCAACCUGCCUUUCAGAGGGGGAUAACGUUUGGAAACGAACGCUAAUACCGCAUGACAUUAUCUUAUCGCAUGGUAGGAUAAUCAAAGGAGCAAUCCGCUGAAAGAUGGGCUCGCGUCCGAUUAGGUAGUUGGUGGGGUAACGGCCCACCAAGCCGACGAUCGGUAGCCGGACUGAGAGGUUGGACGGCCACAUUGGGACUGAGACACGGCCCAGACUCCUACGGGAGGCAGCAGUAAGGGAUAUUGGUCAAGUGGGGGAAACCCUGAACCAGCAACGCCGCGUGAGGGAAGACGGUUUUCGGAUUGUAAACCUCUGUCCUCUGUGAAGAUGAUGACGGUAGCAGAGGAGGAAGCUCCGGCUAACUACGUG
rnacentral:rRNA from 1 species